rnacentral:lncRNA from 1 species
GCCCCGUCCCGCCGCGUCCCGCCGCCCCGGCCCCGGCCCGGCUCGCCGCCCCGCGUGGGAGCCCGCGAAGGACAGAAUGACUGAGAACAUGAAGGAGUGCUUGGCCCACACCAAGGCGGCUGUAGGGGACAUGGUGACAGUAGUGAAGACAGAGGUCUGCUCACCACUCCGGGACCAGGAGUAUGGCCAGCCCUGCUCUCGGAGACUGGAGCCAUCUUCCAUGGAAGUUGA